GCGAGCAGCCGCUGGGGCCCGCGGCCCGCGCGGGUGCGGAGCUCCGCCCGCUCCCGGUUCCGCCCGCUCCCGGCGGGCCGAGCCUCCGCGGCCCGUGCGAUAACCCCCGGUUCCGGGAACGCGGCGCUCGGGUUCCUGCAUGUAAUGAAAAACCAGAGUUACUGAGAGCAGCCAGCACCUGCCAAAAUCUGCUUCAGUGAGGAGUGGCCUGAGCUCACCAAAUGGAUGGUCAGAGCCUUCAAGCUGUUGGAUGUCCAAGCACUAAACUUAAGGGUCACAGCUGAAGGAAUUGAAGGAACCCAGCAAAAGAGUGCACUGUGCUUCUAGAGUCCCAAGUGUCUGUGGAGAAACAGCCCCAUGCAGCUGCUCACAGCAAGCCCUUGCCCUUAGAGAAGACACACUGCCAGAGCCAGGGGAGGCUCCAGCUUGCACCCGUGUCCAGCACAGCCUCUGGUGGCUGCCAGGAGCUCAGGUGGAGUCGCAGGACAGGCUAAGGCAAGGGCAGAGCCUGCCAGGGUGUGCUGCUGCUGCCAGGUGACACCCAGAGCAGAGCAGCUCCCAGGGAAGCUGCUUUGCAGGGCAGCCUGGCUCGGGCAGCUUCAGCGCUGGCAAUUUGCACUGGUUUCUCUCAGACCUGCAAAACGUUCUGGAUGGUUCUGACAUGGGUUUGUCUCUCCCUGGCACCGAAUCCAGACUGGGGAAAUGGCCAGAGCACACCUGCAGCAAUGCCACCCAUCACUGGGGAAGGGGCAGGUCCCUGGGCCACCCGGAAUAGCCACGUGCUGCUGCCAAAGUCACAGCAAGGUUGUACGAGCUGGUGUCUGUAUUUCAGUGUGCCUGGCAAAUGUACAAAACUCUAAAAGCCUGAAAUCUGAUCUGCACAUGGUGGAGAAGUCAAUACUCCUCCCUCCACCGAGACCUUGGUGAGGUAGGAUAUUGUGGCUGAGUGCUGGAGCACUCCAGAGUGCAGCUGUGGCAAAAUGCAAAGCUGGGGGCAGGUUGGGGGAUACAGCGGCACAAAGGCUGCAGUUUGUGCAGGUAUUGCACCACAAGGCCUUGACAAAAAUGUCAGAUGCUACAGACAAUUUUCUGGUAAUCAGGGCAAGCAAAGCACAAAAUAAACAGUGUGUCCUGACCUUUCAGCUGCCAAAUCAUUCACCUAUUUUAAAUCUACAAGUAAAUUUAGUUCUGACAUUACAGAACAGCUGAAGAUACUUGUUUAAAUCAGCCACAUACACUGCAAGUUUUCCACAGGCACAGGAGCAUUAACACCAGGCAGCAGCACCUCCUGCUCCUGCCUGGACAGAUGCUAUGGGUCUACACUGAUGGGCCUAAUUUAAAUGGUUAGUUAAGGGAAAAGAGCAUUGACUAUAGACUGGAAAUGAACAGCAGCCUUUAGAUCCACAAGUCCAAAUCAACUGUCAGGAGGUCCAUAAUGGUUUUUUGGGGGCAGAAGGAGAACAUAUGGCCGGGCUGUCUCUGGUGAUCUUAUUGCCCCUUGUUUUCACAGGGAAAGUCAGAGAAAUUAAUCUGAAUUAAUAAUACCUGUGACUUGAAAGUUACACGUGUGAGUUUUGUUACUCAAAGUGGCCUUCAUUUGAUUUAGCUUUCUUCAUUUUCCAAGUAAAGUACAGUAAAUCAGAUUAAUGCCACUUAAUUCUGAAUAUGAAUAUCUGCAUAGGUCUUAAUAGAAUUUAACUAAUCUACUUUAAAAUAUCAUUCAGCUCAGGUUCCCUGAGUGUCCCCUUCAAGGAAAGACAUCAAUAGACUUAAUGGGAAUUGUUCCUCGAUUGUUUGGCAUGAGAUCAAAACAUCACUAUCAUAAAAACAGUCACAUCUUGCUUGGAUGUCUUUGUUCUGAGAGCAUUAACACCCGACCCAGAGCUGAAUGUAUACCUGCUGAAAUGGAAGCAGAAAUGGCAGUGUGGAGUGAGCUUUUAGUUACAAAAGAGGGAAAACACUGACUUUGUUUUUUCCAGCUGAGAUGGAGAACAGGCAUAGGUGGUCAGGGUAAUUUCCCUGUUCUGAAGGUGUAAACAAUAUGCAUUGUUUUCAUAAGGCUGAUAUAACUUAGGCUGUUGUGCAGUUCUAGACUGUAAUUUCAAACCUGAAAGUUGCUAGAACUUUUAUUUACAUGAACUUCACUGAGGUGUGAGGAACUGCUGUCUCUGUGACAGUAACUUGGAACCUUCCACUGAGCAGUGGCAUCCUCAUGGCCCAUAUCUGCACAUCUCCUUUUUCCAGUUGAGCUUUGCUGGGUAGGCUGGGCUUAAACAGUGAGAACAUGAAGGUGCAGUCACACCCUGGAACAAACAAGAGCCCAGCUUUGAAAGCAAACACAGGACUGGUGUUUCCCCAGGUUAAAGAACUGCCUCUGACAGGGCACUCAGUGCCUGUCCAGGCACACAAAAUGACCACAGCCAAGAUUCAAUCCUUCCCUGCUCUCCCUACAGCCAACCACCAGAGGCAGCUCCAUCCCGGCCCAUUUCUCCAACCCAGCCUCCAAAGCCAAAAGUUCUCAGUGCCUCCACAGCUGGAUUCUUGUUCUGGACUUCAUUCACAUCCUCCUUUAGCACUUUAGGAGGAAGAUCUCAGCACACAG